ACCUGAUGAUGUGGACAUUUACGGAGUAGGUUCCUAAAGCGCUCUCAAGUCUCAAAAAAAAGUUCCUUAUCCAUUUGUGAAAAACUCGUGAUGGUUCUCUGAAGUU